UACGUAGGGGGCAAGCGUUGUCCGGAAUUAUUGGGCGUAAAGAGCGCGUAGGCGGCCCUGUAAGUCCGCUGUGAAAGUCUAGGGCUCAACCCUGGAAUGCCGGUGGAUACUGUCGGGCUCGAGUCCGGAAGAGGCGAGUGGAAUUCCUGGUGUAGCGGUGAAAUGCGCAGAUAUCAGGAGGAACACCGAUGGCGAAGGCAGCUCGCUGGGACGGUACUGACGCUGAGACGCGAAGCGUGGGGAGCAAACAGG
rnacentral:rRNA from 1 species